AACAUCGUUGCGGUACGUUGUGCGGCGCUGCAUCAUCAUCGCUUAGGAAUGGUAUCGCCGUCCAAGCACCAAUACCAGCAGCAGCAACAGCAGCAGGAGCAACAACAGCAACUCAGACGACCGUCGAGAGAGAACAAUAAGUUUGAUCCGCGACGAACGUCAGAUAUUCGUAUACGAAAGGGCCCGCAGCCGCUGGAAGAGAAGUCGUUCUAUUUGGACAUAAAGAACCAUGCCGUCGCGGCCAAGCUAGAGGCACAGAUCAGGGAGUUGGGUGGUGUGGUCGAAUUGUUUCUUGUGCGCAGUGUGAACCUCGUAGCCAGCGAUAGAGUAGAUAAGGCAGGUAACACGAACUUGGAAAGGCAUAGAUGGGCCUACGCCAGUGGCGGCAGCGGAGGACCCCGCUCGCUGAAAAGCAUCGAAGUACCAACUCCUACACCCCCGACGCCGUUGCUGAGCUCUGAAUGCCCCUCGUCCAAUUCUACUCUGCGGGGUCAAACUACCCAAAGAUCUAAAUCGCGAGUGGAUGCAAUGUUGGAACGUGCUCUGACGCAGCCACAACAGUGUUCCGUGGAUCCACUAAACAACGCCCACACUUGGAGAAUUCCUAUUUGGACGACGGAUAAGUUUCAGAUUUGGCUUGACAAGGUCUAUGAAUCUGUCAAGAAUAAUUCUAAUUUGAAGCAAAUUAAUCAGCACAGCUCGACGAGAGUCAAGCAUUUGAAGAGACCAUACGUUAAAUUCGACUCUAUUUACAGAACUACCAGGCCUGUAUUCCUGGAAUUAUCGUCGUGGCCCACGUUAAAUUUCGACGGUGAUCCUGGUUCGUGUCCUUUUGACGUAAAGAAGCAGGAGAAACGAGAGAGCAAAUUAAUAAACAAAGAGGUCAAGGAGAAUAAAAGGGAUAUUGAAUCUAUAAAUAAGGCGGAGGGUAGAGAAAUGACUCGGAGACCUCGUGCCACCACUGCACGUGCUCGCAGAACGGAACAGCUGGUCGCUGGCUAUUGCGAACUCUGUCACAUUCAUUAUAACGAUUUAUCGAAGCAUGUGCAAAGUGAGCAGCAUCUGAACUUUGUGGGGAACGAUGACAAUUUCUUGUCAUUGGACACGCUAAUUAACGCAGGUGCCAAUGUGGAGGCGUUUUUAAAAUUAAACAGAACAAAGGAUAUUGAGAAAGACUGCGACUUAUUCCCCAAUGGAAAUGACAAUCUUCAUAAUGUAGUGCUGCCCGAGGAGAAGGUUAAUAAGAACACCAAAAGUUUAAGUAACUUUACCGUUGACGAAAUAAAAAUGGUGAAUGGUGCGCGCAGAAACCUUAAUCUAAAGUUAAGUUCGCCGCAUAAUCUGCGCACUCGCACAAAACACGAGAGCGGACAUCUCCUCAGGUCUAAAGGUAGUCCAUGGCACGAGGUUGACAAGAGUGAAAAAUUUUAUGAUAAAUUGGAGGGUUUUACCAUCAAAAAGCGCUCGAAAGGUACUAUUUGGAUUGAGGAGGACGACCCGGACGAGAAGUACACGGAGGAUAUUCUGAAGGAGCCCAAGCAGGAAGACUACAAAAUCAAACCGUUCUCAAACAAUAUCGAAUUUUAUAACAGUAAGGACGACAAUAUUAAUAAAGAGGAUAAUGUCAAUAAUAAACACAGUAAUCUGGAUCCACCAAAGUUGCAGUCGAUAAUCGUGCAUAGAAAUGCGCAAAACGGUAUCAUAAAUUCGCGUCAUAUAUCGGAGGAUCCAGAUUAUCUGAAUGGCAAGAACGAAUGUAACGGUGAUGAGAACGCGGGUGUUUUAGAGUGUACGAUAAAGCAAAUCGAUGUAGUAAAUAACGGUUAUGUUAUUGGAGGUUGCAAAGACGAUUCGUUUCAGAGAGACAGUUGUGCGUUGCAAGGUGCGGAGAAGGUGGCGAUAGAAAACGCGAGAAAACUCUCAUCGAAUAACGCGAAUAAUGAAAUCAUUUGUAACGGGCAUAACAAGACCGAGCAGCAGAAAGACUUGAAGGCGUCGUCGCAGAGUGUCGAGAAUACUCGGCACAUGAAGCUUCUUAAGCAUCCGCGCUUGAAUCGGAGAGGCAGAAAUAUCCGGGGUCGAUAUCGGCAUCGAUUGUCGGUGGAGGAGCGUUUGAUAGAAGACAAUCGCGCUUAUUAUAAGGUGGAAGUAUUGGGUAACAAGUUGCGAUCGAGCGCAGUGCCGAGUGGCGGCAAUCCACAGCAUGUAUCGGCGAAGGAUGGUGAGGAAGACGAGGAGAAGAAGGAAAUGCCGUCCAGCCAAGAGAAGCCGGUGGUGGUGCGGUUUAAACGCGUGAGGAAGUCCGAAUUGUCUUUGCUAAGUGACGAGGCGGAGUCUUUCAUGUUCGGCGAGCCGAAACGGGACGACUCGAGCGAGCGAACUACCAGCGACGGCGAGCAGAGCAGCAUACUGCCAAGGGACACGGACAGCGAGGUCAACGAGACUGUUAAUUUAUCGGUGUCGCUGAACUCGUUAAAUUCCAGUCCCAUUAAACAGGAGGUUGUCGAGGAGGACUCGCAGGAUUCGGUGCACCUGGGCAGAGCGAGGAAGAGAAGGCGUACGCAGGCUGAAGCGUUCAUCAAGGACAAUACCGACUACUACAAGUUUGAAACGCCUGGUAGCAGGUUAAGGUAUCAGGCUCCGUUGACUGGUAUCAAGGACACUACCGCCGUAGAUGGCAGCAGGGAACACGGAACGGCGAAGAAAUCGAGUUCGCAUGAACCGGAAAAUUGCAAGUUGCAGACCGACGGUGUCGUCAAGAAAGUUUAUCCGUCCAAGCCGUCACCGGAGAUUGAGAAGAUGCAGUUCUCCUUUGAGUCGGUGCCUAUGUCCGAGCCGUGGUAUCAAACGUAUCAGCGUCAGGAUACGGGCGCCGAGUUCUGGCAUUGCUUUAGCGAGUGCGACACGAUGAAGCCGUUUCUCCUGCCGUACGAGAUCGAGAACUUUCACGAGACACUGCUGAAGGCGCAGAGUAGAAUUGACAGCGGCAGAAGACGGGGCCGUGGUCGUGGUGUAGGAUGCAUGGGACGCUCGCCGAGAAAGAGUCCACGUUGCCACGCGUCUACGUUGGCUAUUAUGUCCACCAUAAUCCGCAAAAGGGAGCAACAAUCGACUCUGUCCACGAUAGAGGAGUCACCGGCUGCCAGAUCACGCAUGAACACGCCCAAGCUCGAGCAAAAAUUGGAUCCCAAAUUGGACGUGGACGAGGAAGUUAAAGAGAUAGCGAAAACGAUCGACGAGUUGCUGAGCGCGAAAGGAAUGAGCGAAUUGGACGACUCGUUCGAGCCCGACUUCGAUUUGACACAGACCGAGAGUUUCUGUGAGACAAACCUGCCAAAAGGCGCGCCGCCAAAUCUGCUGGAACUGCUCGACAACUGUCAAGACAUGACCAACUGUCUGGAGAACAACUCGUCGUGCGCCAGUUCGGAAUGCGGUGAAGCAAACGCGGAUAUUCCGUUGAGACGACGGAAACGUAGAAAAAAUCGGACUGGUUGGCCGGUUGGCAACAAGAUGAAAAAGAAAAUACAGGCGAACAGUAAGGUCUUGACGGAUUGUGACAGGGAAUCGUUGGUAGAGAAGAGGCUCUAUCCGGAUGGCGAUUUUGCCGAACGUCACGUGCUGAACGCGUCCAACAGAUUGUUAGAAGGGAUUGAUUCUCACGCGGUCACACCAACGUCGAUGAACGUCGCGUUGCCAACGGCUGCGGAGCGUUUGGCUGUCAAUCAGAGUAACGCUUCAUUGGAAACCGCGUCUCAUAAAUCGUAUCAUGAGGUGCUCGCGAAAAAGGACAGAAGCGUAGCAGAAGCUAUCGGCAGUGACAAUACGAGCCUAUCGGCGAACAAUACGGACAGCUGUGUGAAAUCCAUCUUGGAGAACGCAUGCGACGAUGGGACGAACAAGACUCACUUGUCGAGCAAAGAUUAUCCGUGUAGAAAGGAUCUUUCGGGGAUGUCGGAGAAAAUCUCGGAUUCGGGUAACGAUGAGAAUCACGACAACCACCAGAAGAGUCUGUUCGGCAGAAAGGACGUCAACACGAUCGGUGAGAAUCUGGUCGCAAAUCUGAUCACGAAGUCGUCGUCCGGAAUCGGCAGGAAGCAACGGCAGCGCGAGCAUACCGUUGUUACCAGUGCCGACAGCUGCGAAUCGGCGGAGAUCGAGAAUCAGAACAAUCUGCAGUUGCAGUGUAGAAAGGAGGAGACCGGUAUAGUUCCUAAGAAACACCACAAUUCCAGUUCCGAGCUGUCAGGACCGAAGCGGCAGCUGCGUGGUGGCGGUAACUGCGAGGAGAACUCGCAGUCAGACUCGACGGGAUCUGAAUUACUGAAGCGUCGUCGCGGCAUCGUGUUUGCCGCGACGAGGCGCGGUCGAAUGGGCUCGCGAAAGCGGAUCUACUCGAGGAAACGUCAGUCAAGGACGGCCGUCGCUCGCAACAACAACGCCAGCCUAUCGUCGCCCGAUCGCGUCGGGAUGAUAUACGAGGACGAGAAUUGUAAAAAGGACGCCUACUUGAGUAUUACGUCGUGUAACAAGAAGCAGUCGCCAGGCUCCGCGAUCCGCGGCGGCGUGAAGCGCAAGAGUGAGGCGAUUUCGUCGUCGGACAAUGUCCAGGAGCCAUCGUCUGAUCCAACGGUGGAUCAGUGCGCGUUGUCGGAGCGCGUUAGUCCGUCGAUAUUGUCGUCUACCGAGCUCGAGCAACGUCGCUCAAGCAUCGAGUUCCAACCGGUUGUACGAAUGAUGAAACUCGACGACCAGGUGGAUAUGGAUCACGGUAUACUGUCGACAGUGACGGUGGCAAGCAAUCGGCGACUGAGAAGCUCUGGCAGUUCGCCACGUUCGAACCCCAAGCCACCGAGGAAGCGCGUUAAGUCCGCCCGCGGGCACUUCGGGCGAUGGUUGAAGAACAGCUGAAGACCUGGGGAACGCAGACGCAAAAGAAAGAGGCUGUACCUCGGUUUAGAUUUCAAUGAUGGCGGUUAUCAGGUGUCGAUCUCACGAUCCGAUAUUUCGUUCCACCGCAGUGUACAUUGUGUAUAAAAAUAUUAUUUGUGUGGUUAGUUUUAACACUCCCCACCCGGUAUGUCCUACUGUGUACAUUCUUUAGAUGCGGUCGUUGUGUUCUCAGAGGCAGAAUAGUUACAAUCUUUUUUACUAGUACCAAGUCGUUCCUUAUUUUCUAUUUUUUUCUUCCAUCGUUUUAUGUAAACGAAAAUUGUGUACCACUUUAAUGACACUCAUUUUCAUGCAGAUCAUGAUUAAAGAUUAUUUAGAAUACAUUAUUAUAUAUUUUAGAGUACGCAAGACUGCAUACAGCUUUAUAACAUUGUAACCACACAUACACAUAACAUACACAUACACACACCACACAUACUCACAUAUAUUUCCGUUAUAUUGUGUAUAUUAUUGAAAGGUAAUAUUCUAUAUUUUCGAUUCCCCAAUAUAUCCAAAUACAUUAUUUCAAGCAAAAUUGCUGUAAGUCGCUCAUGAGUUCAGAAAGAGAAAUUAUUAUUAAAGAUAUGCAAAUUUUUCAUUAAAA
rnacentral:misc_RNA from 1 species